ACCACAUCAUGUUGAAACAUUCGUUCCCAUAUGAUCACCAAAAUUAAGCAACAUCAAGCCUGGUCAGUACCUAGAUGGGUGACCACUUGGGAAUACCAGGUGCUGUAAG